rnacentral:rRNA from 1 species
AAUAGAUACCCUGGUAGUCCACGCCGUAAACGAUGGAUACUAGCUGUUGGGGGCAACUUCAGUGGCUAAGCGAAAGUAAUAAGUAUCCCACCUGGGGAGUACGAACGCAAGUUUGAAACUCAAAGGAAUUGACGGGGGCCCGCACAAGCGGUGGAGCAUGUGGUUUAAUUCGAUGAUACGCGAGGAACCUUACCAAGGCUUAAAUGCAGACUGACCGAUUUGGAAACAGAUCUUUCGCAAGACAGUUUACAAGGUGCUGCAUGGUUGUCGUCAGCUCGUGCCGUGAGGUGUCAGGUUAAGUCCUAUAACGAGCGCAACCCCUGUUGUUAGUUGCCAGCGAGUCAUGUCGGGAACUCUAACAAGACUGCCAGUGCAAACUGUGAGGAAGGUGGGGAUGACGUCAAAUCAUCACGGCCCUUACGCCUUGGGCUACACACGUGCUACAAUGGCCGGUACAGAGAGCAGCCACCUCGCGAGGGGGAGCGAAUCUAUAAAGCCGGUCACAGUUCGGAUCGGAGU